GGCGACUGAAAGGGGACCAGCCCAGCGCAUAACCUCGCGGUCUGAUACGGCCGUCGAGGGGUGUUGCGUUUUGGUGGAUCCGUACCGCUCGAGCUGCUGACCGCCUAAGUCAUUGCUUGAAUGCAGCCCCGAGGAGGGUGGUAGGCCCGUGUGGCGGCGCCUGUAAAAAGGUUUUAGGCAGCUUGGGCGGAGGGGUCUUUACCGUAGAGUCGGGUUGCUUAGUACUGCAGCCCUAAGUAGGUGGUAAACUCCAUCUAAGGCUAAAUACUACCACGAGUCCGAUAUUGGACAAGUACCGUGAGGGAAAGCUGAAAAGGACUCUGAAGAGAGAGUUCAAGAGGACGUGAAACCAUUAGAAGCUCAAACGGGUGGAACCGUGAAGGUCGAAAGAGGGGAUUCAGCUGGCAGGGCGUGGGCUCUGGCUGCGGUUCAAGUUGCAUUUCAGUGAGAGGACCCGGCCAUGAAGUUUGUGGCGGCGGCCCCGUGGCUGGGGCUCCGCGUCCUGCGGGCUUAUUUCUCCCUCGAGUAGAGCGGGUGGCGACCCGCUGCUCAGGCUCCUAGGGCCGUGCGGGACUGGUAGCCCGCGCUUCGGCGCGGGUGAUGACCCGCUGCGGUGCUGACCGGGCUUGGGCGGCGGUCACUGCAAGGAGGCCGCGGAGAGAAGAAUGCGGCCUCUCGCCACUUGAGAGUGAUUGGUAAUCCACCCGACCCGUCUUGAAACACGGACCAAGGAGUCCAACAUGUGCGCGAGUCUAAGGGUACUCUAAACCCGGAGGCGAAAUGAAAGUGAGCUCGUUCUGGGCAGGCCGAUCCCCUGCCUGUCAGGGCCUGUUGGGCCAGCUAGGUUGAGAGAAUAUCCUGGGCUGGUGCCGGCGGUGCCGUGGCGGGCGGCCCGCUGCUCUUGUGAGGCGGCGGGAGUUGGGGCGCAGGCCGAGGACUUGGCGUUGUGCGGCCGCCAGAAACGGGGUGCUCCCUCGGGGGCUCCCUGGACUGGUGGUCCGCGGCCAAGUACCUGAGAGCGCAGCCGUUGGGACCCGAAAGAUGGUGAACUAUGCCUGGCGAGGACGAAGCCAGAGGAAACUCUGGUGGAGGUCCGAAGCAGUUCUGACGUGCAAAUCGAUUGUCAGAGCUGGGUAUAGGGGCGAAAGACUAAUCGAACCAUCUAGUAGCUGGUUCCCUCCGAAGUUUCCCUCAGGAUAGCUGGCAUUCGGAGGUGUGAGUUUCAUCCGGUAAAGCGAAUGAUUAGAGGCCUUGGUGGUGCAAUGCCGUCAACCUAUUCUCAAACUUUAAAUGGGUGAGACGUGGAGCUUGCUUGAGACGUGAAGCUCUAUGAUGCAAAGAAUCAGAGUGCCUAGUGGGCCACUUUUGGUAAGCAGAACUGGCGCUGUGGGAUGAACCAAACGUACGAGUUAAGGGGCCUAAAGGAAUGCUAAUGUAGACACUACGAAAAGGUGUUGGUUGCUAUAGACAGCAGGGCGGUGGCCAUGGAAGUUGGAAUCCGCUAAGGAGUGUGUAACAACUCACCUGCCGAAGCAACUAGCCCUUAAAAUGGUAUGGCGCUCAAGCAUUCUCCCGAUACUCGGCCGCCGGGGCAUUGUUUUGGUGCUGAGAGAGGCGCUAUGGAAGCCCCGGCGAGUAGGAGGGUCGCAGCGGUGAGCGUCGAAGGGACUCGGCGUGAGCCGGCCUGGAGCCGCCGCUGGCGCAGAUCUUGGUGGUAGUAGCAAAUAAUCAAGAGAGAGCCUCGUUGGCUGAUGUGGAGAAGGGUUCCAUGUCAACAUCAGUUGAACAUGGGUGAGUCAGGCCUAAGCCCAAGGAUAAAGUUCCUGUGUCCCAUGUGAUCCCAGGCCUCUAAACGGAGAGAAGAAUGUUUAGUUGGCGUGGUGGGUCACCGGCUGCUGGCUGCUGCUGCUCCUCCUCCUCCUCCUCCUGCUGCUGCUCUUCCCUUUGGGUAGUAGUAGGGGUUGCGGUUGCUUGUUGGUGAUGGCUGCUGCGAGUCUUUGGACGGCUGCCCUGUUGCAGGAGCUGCGCCUGCCCUGGCUGCCCGGUCGGAGAGAAGAAAGACUGGGCGGCGGAUAGGGUGGUGGCGUGGCGAUUGGCAGUGGYUGGUCUCCUGGGCCGCGGCGGCGACACCAGCAGCAGCGUAAGCAGCCCCUUUNCUGUGCCUGGCCGGUGAGAAGAAUGNCCANGCGAGCGAGCGAGAGAGAGAGAGAGAGGGAGAGCGAGAUAGAGCGUGGCUGGCGGCUGGCUGGCCCCCUGCUGGUGAUUAAGAAAUUUGUUAAAGCUGGAAGGGAUGCAGUGGCGAAAGGGAAUACGGUAAUGAUUCCGUGACCUGUGUUCGGACGGGCCCGGUGUCUGCCUCUGAGGUGGAGGCCGGGUCAAGUGUGUGACGAUUCCUGGCAACGGGAUCUGGCUUGUGUCCACUGGCNNNUGGUCCGGGGGAGAGUUUUCUUUUCUGUUUUAGGCCCCGUGAUCCCCGGAAAUCCUAUGAAGCGAGAAGGGGGUGAUGGUAUAGCAAACCAUCACGGUGGCCGUAGAGCGACACAGUUCUUGUGUUGUCCCGUCACCAACGCCAGUCCGUGAAAGAUGCAAGUGAGGAAGUCACACGGGUCGGAGUCCGGGGCGGGUGUGGGUGGCUGGCCCCUNGGGUCGGUGCCCCGCUCGCUCGUGGUGACCCUGUUUCGACACAGACUGUACCC
rnacentral:rRNA from 1 species